rnacentral:rRNA from 1 species
GAUGAACGCUGGCGGCGUGCCUAAUACAUGCAAGUCGAGCGAACGGACGAGAAGCUUGCUUCUCUGAUGUUAGCGGCGGACGGGUGAGUAACACGUGGAUAACCUACCUAUAAGACUGGGAUAACUUCGGGAAACCGGAGCUAAUACCGGAUAAUAUUUUGAACCGCAUGGUUCAAAAGUGAAAGACGGUCUUGCUGUCACUUAUAGAUGGAUCCGCGCUGCAUUAGCUAGUUGGUAAGGUAACGGCUUACCAAGGCAACGAUGCAUAGCCGACCUGAGAGGGUGAUCGGCCACACUGGAACUGAGACACGGUCCAGACUCCUACGGGAGGCAGCAGUAGGGAAUCUUCCGCAAUGGGCGAAAGCCUGACGGAGCAACGCCGCGUGAGUGAUGAAGGUCUUCGGAUCGUAAAACUCUGUUAUUAGGGAAGAACAUAUGUGUAAGUAACUGUGCACAUCUUGACGGUACCUAAUCAGAAAGCCACGGCUAACUACGUGCCAGCAGCCGCGGUAAUACGUAGGUGGCAAGCGUUAUCCGGAAUUAUUGGGCGUAAAGCGCGCGUAGGCGGUUUUUUAAGUCUGAUGUGAAAGCCCACGGCUCAACCGUGGAGGGUCAUUGGAAACUGGAAAACUUGAGUGCAGAAGAGGAAAGUGGAAUUCCAUGUGUAGCGGUGAAAUGCGCAGAGAUAUGGAGGAACACCAGUGGCGAAGGCGACUUUCUGGUCUGUAACUGACGCUGAUGCGCGAAAGCGUGGGGAUCAAACAGGAUUAGAUACCCUGGUAGUCCACGCCGUAAACGAUGAGUGCUAAGUGUUAGGGGGUUUCCGCCCCUUAGUGCUGCAGCUAACGCAUUAAGCACUCCGCCUGGGGAGUACGACCGCAAGGUUGAAACUCAAAGGAAUUGACGGGGACCCGCACAAGCGGUGGAGCAUGUGGUUUAAUUCGAAGCAACGCGAAGAACCUUACCAAAUCUUGACAUCCUUUGACAACUCUAGAGAUAGAGCCUUCCCCUUCGGGGGGCAAAGUGACAGGUGGUGCAUGGUUGUCGUCAGCUCGUGUCGUGAGAUGUUGGGUUAAGUCCCGCAACGAGCGCAACCCUUAAGCUUAGUUGCCAUCAUUAAGUUGGGCACUCUAAGUUGACUGCCGGUGACAAACCGGAGGAAGGUGGGGAUGACGUCAAAUCAUCAUGCCCCUUAUGAUUUGGGCUACACACGUGCUACAAUGGACAAUACAAAGGGCAGCGAAACCGCGAGGUCAAGCAAAUCCCAUAAAGUUGUUCUCAGUUCGGAUUGUAGUCUGCAACUCGACUACAUGAAGCUGGAAUCGCUAGUAAUCGUAGAUCAGCAUGCUACGGUGAAUACGUUCCCGGGUCU